AGGGCGUCUCCAGCAGUCCCGUUGGCAGUCGGUGCAGUAGUUCCGGACGUCCGGGCUUCGGCUCCGCGGGGAGCGAGGCUGCUCGAAUGCGAGCGAGCCAGCGGGGCUGUGCGUGCGCGCGUGAGAGAUACAGCCUGAAGGACCAAGCUGUUGAAUUCUAGAAAGAGAUAACUUAAAUUUGUUCUGACUACCUCCAAGCACUCCAUGGCUGCACGCUUGUCUCACUGGAAAAUGCACAGCCCCAAUUCUGUGCAGGGACGACGCAAAGCAGAGUGUGAUGCAUCUCUCUGGAGCAUCAAGUUUAUUAACUAGAAUUGAAAGAACCAAGGAGUUCUUGGAACAAGAACUAUCCCCCUCCCCCACCAACACGGAAGACAGAAGAGUAGGGGAGGGGAGACGUGCCCCAGGAAUGACAGUCCAG